rnacentral:rRNA from 1 species
GACGAACGCUGGCGGCGUGCCUAAUACAUGCAAGUAGAACGCUGAAGGAGGAGCUUGCUUCUCUGGAUGAGUUGCGAACGGGUGAGUAACGCGUAGGUAACCUGCCUGGUAGCGGGGGAUAACUAUUGGAAACGAUAGCUAAUACCGCAUAAUAGUAGAUGUUGCAUGACAUUUGCUUAAAAGGUGCAAUUGCAUCACUACCAGAUGGACCUGCGUUGUAUUAGCUAGUUGGUGAGGUAACGGCUCACCAAGGCGACGAUACAUAGCCGACCUGAGAGGGUGAUCGGCCACACUGGGACUGAGACACGGCCCAGACUCCUACGGGAGGCAGCAGUAGGGAAUCUUCGGCAAUAGACGGAAGUCUGACCGAGCAACGCCGCGGGAGUGAAGAAGGUUUUCGGAUCGUAAAGCUCUGUUGUAAGAGAAGAACGAGUGUGAGAGUGGAAAGUUCACACUGUGACGGUAUCUUACCAGAAAGGGACGGCUAACUACGUG